rnacentral:antisense_RNA from 1 species
CUUUAUGGCGGUUGUGUGCGGGCAGGCUUACGCCUGGCCGGGUUGCCUACGCCCCGGGUCUCACCCCGCACACGACUGCCACCCAU